ensembl:lncRNA
CAGCAAUGUAGAAACUAAAAACGACAAGGAGGGAGCACUUUUACCUCUUGAACAUUCAAUGAGCAGAUUAAACGCUCCGCCAGCUUCCAACAUUGAACAAAACUCUGGAAGUGGCUUUACUACAGCAAGUGGAAAGAAGGUAAAACUGUCCGAAGAAGCCCUGAAAAACGCUAUGAAGAUGUUGUCAUAUGAAAUUGAACUGCAUGAUGAUGAAAUCAUGACAGAGGAAAUGAAUGAGUCCAAAUUCCAGCUUGGGUCUGUGCAAUCCAAAUCUGCCAAUACUGUAAACAAAAGAUCAUCAACAAAGGAUCAUUUAGCCUCAAACCUCAACUCGCCAGUUAAGAUGGACAUAACCUUCCAAAAAGAAACACAUCCUCGCUUGUACAAAGAAGUAAAUGCUCCUCCAGUACUCGUGAACCUGGAUAUGGUUCAGCUUGGUGGCUGCACCUCCACACAACAGCAGUUCUUGGCACAGGAGGCCUUUGACUGCACCAGGGCCUUGUUGGAAGAUGAGGGCCAGGCCACAGACAGUCUGACAGUUGCCAGUUUGGAACACACCUCAACUUUGACCAGCAGAUCGGAUCAACGGCAGAACCACACAGAGCCAAAGGACGGAGGAACUGGUGAGCCCGUUCUGAAAAGGCCUUUACCUGAGGAGCCAGAUAGAGUUUGUAAUAUGGAGAAAAAGCCCAUCCCUAAUCCUGCCUGGAGCUGUCUUGGUGGUUUGUUGAAAGACAGAAGAGUUUUUCAAUACCACGUGUCACGCCAUCCAAACACCCCAAGGCCACACGGGAGCAUAAAGGAGCAGGUGAACCCAAAUCCAGUGCCCCUGACACCAGCCAGGAGAGGAGCAGCGUUUGUGCCUCCUUUCU